GCUGGGCGCGGUGGCAUGUGCCUGUAGUCCCAGCUACUCAGCAGGCUGAGGUGGGAGGAUCGCUUGAGCCCAGGAGUUCUGGGCUGUAGUGCACUAUACCGACUGGGUGUCCGCACUAAGUUCGGCAUCAAUAUGGUGACCUCCCGGGAGCAGGGACCACCACCAGGUUGCCUAAGGAGGGGUGAACCAGCCCAGGUCGGAAACGGAGCAGGUCAAGACUCCUAUGCUGAUCAGUAGUGGGAUUGAGCCUGUGAAUAGCCACUGCACUCUAGCCUGGGCAACAUAGCGAGGCCCCGUCUCU
rnacentral:SRP_RNA from 1 species